UGACCUUGGUCUGGAACCUGCUACAGUGGUAACUUCCAAAUUCAGAGAAACCCUGGAAUUAAAAAUGGGCAAUCCUGAGCCAAAUCUUUAUGUUAAGAAAACAAAGGAUAGGUGCAGAGACUCAAUGGAAGCUGUUCUAACAAAUGGAAUUGACGUUGACUACGUUGCGUUGGUAGCUGGAAUCCCUCUAUCGAAAUUACAGAAAGGAUGACUCUAUAUGCGUAUAUAUACAUACUGACAUAUCAAACUAUUAAUCACAACUCGAAUCUGGAAUCCAUAUUAAUAUAUAUUUAAUAAAGAUAUAUUUUUUUAUAAAUUUAUAGAUUAAUUAAGAGUUAUUAUAAAUAUAUUCCAGUCGAAGUUGAAGGAAGAAUCGAAUAUUCAGUGAUCAAAUCAUUCAUUCCAGAGUCGGAUAGAUCUUUUGAAAAAAUGAUUAAUCGGACGAGAAUAAAGAGAGAGUCCUGUUCUACGUGUCUAUACCGACAGCAAUGAAAUUUAUAGUAUUAGGAAAAUCCGUCGACUUUAGAAAUCGUGA
rnacentral:precursor_RNA from 1 species